rnacentral:rRNA from 1 species
GACGAACGCUGGCGGCGUGCCUAAUACAUGCACGUAGGACGCAGUUGCGAACGGGUGAGUAACGCGUCGGUAACUGCCUAUUAGAGGGGGGUAACUAUUGGAAACGCUAGCUAAUACCGCAUACUAGUAGAUGGACCUGCGUUGUAUUAGCUAGUAGGUAGGGUAAUGGCCUACCUAGGCUAGGCUACAUAGCCGACCUGAGAGGGUGAUCGGCCACACUGGGACUGAGACACGGACCAGACUCCGACGGGAGGCAGCAGUAGGGAAUCUUCGGCAAUGGGGGGAACCCUGACCGAGCAACGCCGAGUGAGUGAAGAAGGUUUUCGGAUCGUAAAGCUCUGUUGUUAAGGAAGCGGUACUUAACCAGAAAGGGACGGCUAACUACGUGCCAGCAGCCGCGGUAAUUC